rnacentral:lncRNA from 12 species
UCACCUGGGAACCCCCUUCAGCCCUGAUCUGCCACUCACCUGCCUCCUUGCCCACGUCAAACUGAGGACAGGACACACCUGAGCUCACCUGGGCACAGCUGGACACAGCUGGGAUACACCUGAGCUCACCUGGGAACUCCCCCAGCCCCUCCCUGCUACACCUGAGCCCUGAUCUGCUGCUCCCUCACCUCCUUAUCCACGUCAAACUGGGGACAGGACACACCUGAGCUCACCUGGGGCUCACCUGGGCCCACCCAAAACCCCCCCAGGUGUGUCCCCUGGUGUGACUCACACUGUGGUUUUUGUAGAAAUCCCCAUUCCCGCCACCCAGGUGUGUGCCCAUGUCCCCAGGUAUGUCCAGGUGUGUCCCCAUGUUCCCAGGUGUGUCCCCAGGUGUGUCCCCGCCAUACCCAGGUAUGUCCUGACUUCUCCAGGUGGUUCCCCAGGUGUGUCCCCCAUGUCCCCAGGUGUCCCCAGGUGCGUCCCUCGUGUCCCCAGGUGUGCCCAGGUGACUCACACUGUGCAGGUUGUUGUAGAAGUCGACACUCCCCACGCACAGGUAAAGACCCACGGCUCCAGGUGUGUCCCAGGUGUGUCCCAGCCCCUCCAGAUGUGUUACAGGUGUGUCCCAGCCCCCCCCAGGUGUGCCCAGGUGUGCCCAGGUGACUCACGCUGUGCAGGUUGUUGUAGAAGUCGACGCUCCCCGCGCACAGGUAGCGCCCCAGGUGUGUCACAGGUGUAUCCCAGCCCCCCCAGGUGUAUCCCAGGUGUGUCCCAGUUCCCAGCCCCACCCCGGAUGUGUCCCAGGUGGGUGUGGCACAUUCCAGGUGUGUCCCAGUUCCCAGCCCCACCCCAGGUGUGUCCCAGGUGGGUGCCCCCCCCCCCCCCCCCCCCCCCCCCCCCCCCCCCCCCCCCCCCCCCCCCCCCCCCCCCCCCCCCCCC